AGUGAGUGGCGAACGGGUGAGUAACACGUGGGUAACCUGCCCAGAAGUAGGGGAUAACACCUGGAAACAGAUGCUAAUACCGUAUAACAGAGAAAACCGCAUGGUUUUCUUUUAAAAGAUGGGUCUGCUAUCACUUCUGGAUGGACCCGCGGCGUAUUAGCUAGUUGGUGAGGUAAAGGCUCACCAAGGCAGUGAUACGUAGCCGACCUGAGAGGGUAAUCGGCCACAUUGGGACUGAGACACGGCCCAGACUCCUACGGGAGGCAGCAGUAGGGAAUCUUCCACAAUGGACGCAAGUCUGAUGGAGCAACGCCGCGUGAGUGAAGAAGGGUUUCGGCUCGUAAAGCUCUGUUGUUAAAGAAGAACGUGGGUAAGAGUAACUGUUUACCCAGUGACGGUAUUUAACCAGAAAGCCACGGCUAACUACGUG
rnacentral:rRNA from 1 species